GGCAACGCUGUUCGCAGUUCGAUUGUGUUUCUGCUCGGAGUCGGACGUGUUUUUGUUGAGCUCUCCGAUUGUGUUGCUUUUUUGCUGCUUGCGGAGUUUGCUAAAGAUUUUUGAGGAAAGUCUUAGUCCAUACUCACGCUAGACAAUGAAGAUGUUGAGUGGAUCGGCAGGAGGUUCCCACGGAGGAAGGCUGUGGUGCCGGGGGGGGGGGAGAUUUCUCGGCAGGCUCCGAUGGCAUGCAACGAGGUUCUCUGACUCUUACCACUCCCAAAGAGACGUUGGAGUACCAAGGGCUCGACCAUGUCUCCUCCCAAUCGAUUAGUUCGGUGUCGUUUGGAACCGUCAAGCAAGAGGCAGUGGGUGAUGACCUUCCCAAGUGCGUGUGGUGUGGCACUCUCCCGGAGUAGGGAUACCUCCAUGCUCCAGUGUACUAGGUCUUCGAAAAUUGGCUUGCCACAGACCUUAUUGUGGAGGAUGUAGGAAGUGAGAGCUCGGACAGUUGUCACUUCCUGUUUUGUCGAGUUCUGUUUCUCCAUCCACAACAGAGAUGCCACUGCUUUCCGGAAGUCUGAAUGGGGAGGAAAUGGAGUAGUGAGCCACCGAAUUCGAGGGACCGUGGUGUCUGUGGUUCCCUUGGCCUAGGCGGCGAUUUUCCCAAUUCGUCCUCCUGCACCCAGAUGUGACAUUCUUACUGGAUUAGACACUUUUCACCUGGACUCAAUACCUUUUCCUGGAUGUGACUGUGGACUUGUCUCCCAAUAACACUCUGUCAAUGACAAUGGAUUUAUCUCCCAAUUACGACCACCAGAAGGCACUCAAAGGAGAGGCCAAGGGGCCUGGUAGCCUUCAAAGAAAAAGGAAAACAAAUACCAGGAAGUUUCCAAAAAUCUUUUCUUAAUCAAAAUUAAAUUAUUAUUUAUAUUAUGUCUUGUCUUCUAUUUCUAUACUACUUAUGAACCAGCAGUCACAUUAGAUGGGAAUUUUAAGUUUGCAUUGAACAUUUUUUAAUCCGUUUAAAUGGGCUUCCCUGAGAUUAAGUUUUGAGUGCGUCUCUGGUGCCUACAGGACAUAAUCUAUUGCUACCUCUUUUUUUUUUUUUUUUACUCUUUAUCUCAAAUUUAAUGGUUUAAAGCAUAAUUGCAGUUAUUUAAGCAUUGUCUUUGAUAUAAAAAUGAAUUCCAAAUUACGAAAAAUUUUGGCUCUGAAAUUAGCAAGAAAGUUCAUUGUGGGAGAACAAAAGUUGUGGAAAUAAUUAAAAAUCUGCUUGUACCAAAGUUAAUUCAAUGAUUUUGUAUAAGUCUUAUUGUCAUAUUUUGUCAUUUAGUUGAAUUUAAACAUUAGAUAUUCACAUGUAAGGUAUUUUGUAAUUCAGUUUAUGCUUUAAUAGUUGUAAUUAUUUUAGCAUAUGUAAAUGAUACAAAUAAUAAUAUGUUUUUUAAAACUUUA